rnacentral:misc_RNA from 1 species
GGCAUGCUUGGGAGUGAGUAUGGUCAUUUUAAAACUUAAUGUGUAUUCUUAAUGUUUAAAAUGAUCUUUUUUUACUUAUAAAAACCUAAUGCAUGGUAUUCUUUGGUGUACCACAAAAUUAUAACCUAAUGCAUAGCAAUUGGACAAUGAAUCCUUAUUUGUCUUUUUUUUUUUAAUAUCAAAUUCUUGAAAUAAUUUGGUAUGUUAAUGCAUUUAUAUAAGAAU